GAUGAAGAACGCAGCGAAAUGCGAUAAGUAAUGUGAAUUGCAGAAUUCCGUGAAUCAUCGAAUCUUUGAACGCACAUUGCGCCCCCUGGCAUUCCGGGGGGCAUGCCUGUCCGAGCGUCAUUUCUGCCCUCAAGCACGGCUUGUGUGUUGGGUGUGGUCCCCCCGGGGACCUGCCCGAAAGGCAGCGGCGACGUCCGUCUGGUCCUCGAGCGUAUGGUGCUCUGUCACUCGCUCGGGAAGGACCUGCGGGGGUUGGUCACCACUAUAUUUUACCACGGUUGACCUCGGAUCAGGUAGGAGUUACCCGCUGAACUUAAGCAUAUCAAUAAGCGGAGGA
rnacentral:misc_RNA from 1 species